GAGCACAUAGCCGAGUGGUAGGUGGGUUUUGGUGCAGUUGAUGGUUGUGGGUUCGAGUCCCGCAGUGCGCA
rnacentral:tRNA from 1 species